CACUGACACUGAGGUGCGAAAGCGUGGGUAGCAAACAGGAUUAGAUACCCUGGUGGUCCACGCCGUAAACGAUGUCGACCAGCCGUUGGGUGCCUAGCGCACUUUGUGGCGAAGUUAACGCGAUAAGUCGACCGCCUGGGGAGUACGGCCGCAAGGUUAAAACUCAAAUGAAUUGACGGGGGCCCGCACAAGCGGUGGAGCAUGUGGUUUAAUUCGAUGCAACGCGAAGAACCUUACCUACUCUUGACAUCCUGCGAACUUGUGAGAGAUCACUUGGUGCCUUCGGGAGCGCAGAGACAGGUGCUGCAUGGCUGUCGUCAGCUCGUGUUGUGAAAUGUUGGGUUAAGUCCCGUAACGAGCGCAACCCUUGUCCUUAUUUGCCAGCGGGUAAUGCCGGGAACUCUAAGGAGACUGCCGGUGACAAACCGGAGGAAGGUGGGGACGACGUCAAGUCAUCAUGGCCCUUACGAGUAGGGCUACACACGUGCUACAAUGGCCGGUACAAAGGGUUGCGAGCUCGCGAGAGUCAGCUAAUCCCGAAAAGCCGGUCUCAGUCCGGAUCGGAGUCUGCAACUCGACUCCGUGAAGUCGGAAUCGCUAGUAAUCGUGAAUCAGAAUGUCACGGUGAAUACGUUCCCGGGCCUUGUACACACCGCCCGU
rnacentral:rRNA from 1 species